GCUCAAUGUUUGAUAUUCAAAAGGUGGAUAUUCCUUCUAUGUUUACAGGAUUGACAGCUAAACAUAGAGGAAAAUCCACAUUUUAAGUAUCUAAAUUUGCUUUUGA
ensembl:miRNA MIR376E microRNA mir-376e